rnacentral:rRNA from 1 species
GAUCCUGGCUCAGGAUGAACGCUAGCUACAGGCUUAACACAUGCAAGUCGAGGGGCAUCACUGAGGUUGCUGCAACUCUGGUGGCGACCGGCGCACGGGUGAGUAACGCGUAUCCAACCUGGCCCUAGUAGGGGAUAGCCCGGCGAAAGUCGGAUUAAUACCCUAUGUUAUUCGUAGAGGACAUCUGAAAUGAAUCAAAGGCUUGCCACUAAGGGAUGGGGAUGCGUCUGAUUAGGUAGUCGGCGGGGUAACGGCCCACCGAGCCUGCGAUCAGUAGGGGUUCUGAGAGGAAGGUCCCCCACAUUGGAACUGAGACACGGUCCAAACUCCUACGGGAGGCAGCAGUGAGGAAUAUUGGUCAAUGGCCGAGAGGCUGAACCAGCCAAGUAGCGUGCAGGACGAACCGGCCCUAUGGGUUGUAAACUGCUUUUGUGGCGGAGCAAUAAGGUGUACGUGUACACCGAUGAGAGUACGUCACGAAUAAGCAUCGGCUAACUCCGUGCCAGCCGCUGC